GAUGAACGCUAGCGGCAGGCUUAACACAUGCAAGUCGAGGGGUAUAGUUCUUCGGAAUUAGAGACCGGCGCACGGGUGCGUAACGCGUAUGCAAUCUACCUUUCACAGAGGGAUAGCCCCAGAGAAAUUUGGAUUAAUACCUCAUAGUAUAGCAGUUUCGCAUGAAACCACUAUUAAAGUCACAACGGUGAAAGAUGAGCAUGCGUCCCAUUAGCUAGUUGGUAAGGUAACGGCUUACCAAGGCAACGAUGGGUAGGGGUCCUGAGAGGGAGAUCCCCCACACUGGUACUGAGACACGGACCAGACUCCUACGGGAGGCAGCAGUGAGGAAUUUUGGACAAUGGGCGCAAGCCUGAUCCAGCAAUGCCGCGUGCAGGAUGAAGGCCUUCGGGUUGGUUAAACUAGUCUUUCGUACGGUAACGAAACGGUAGGAGACGUCU
rnacentral:rRNA from 1 species